rnacentral:lncRNA from 1 species
AUGAGAAGGGGAACUGGAAUUGUGCUCAUGGUUUUUUUUUUUUUUUUUUUUUUGAGACGGAGUCUCGCUCUGUCGCCCAGGCUAGAGUGCAGUGGCCGGAUCUCAGCUCACUGCAAGCUCCGCCUCCUGGGUUCACGCCAUUCUCCGGCCUCAGCCUCCCGAGUAGCUGGGACUACAGGCGCCUGUAGUCCCAGCUACUCGGGAGGCUGAGGUGGGUGGAUCACCUGAGGUCAGGAGUUUGAGACCAGCCUGACCAACAUAGAGAAACCCCGUUUCUAGUAAAAAUACAAAAUUAGCUGAGUGUGGUGGCACAUGCCUGUAAUCCCAGCUACUUGGGAGGCUGAGGCAAGAUAAUUGCUUGAACCCG